rnacentral:rRNA from 1 species
GACGAACGCUGGCGGCGUGCUUUACACAUGCAAGUCGAACGGUGAAGGUGGAGCUUGCUCCGCCGGAUCAGUGGCGAACGGGUGAGUAACACGUGGGCAACCUGCCCCUAACUUUGGGAUAACUACUCGAAAGAGUAGCUAAUACCGGAUAUGAAGUCUGUAGGCAUCUAUGGAUUUGGAAAGUUUUUCGGUUAGGGAUGGGCCCGCGGCCUAUCAGCUUGUUGGUGAGGUAGUGGCUCACCAAGGAGACGACGGGUAGCCGGCCUGAGAGGGCGGCCGGCCACACUGGGACUGAGACACGGCCCAGACUCCUACGGGAGGCAGCAGUGGGGAAUAUUGCGCAAUGGGCGAAAGCCUGACGCAGCAACGCCGCGUGCGGGAUGAAGGCCUUCGGGUUGUAAACCGCUUUCAGCAGGGAAGAAGCGAAAGUGACGGUACCUGCAGAAGAAGCACCGGCUAACUACGUGCCAGCCGCCGCCGUAA